UACGGAGGGAGCUAGCGUUGUUCGGAUAUACUGGGCGUAAAGCGCACGUAGGCGGCGCCGUUAGUCAGGGGUGAAAUCCCGGAGCUCAACUCCGGAACUGCCUUUGAAACUGCGGUGCUAGAAUCCUGGAGAGGCGAGUGGAAUUCCGAGUGUAGAGGUGAAAUUCGUAGAUAUUCGGAAGAACACCAGUGGCGAAGGCGACUCGCUGGACAGGUAUUGACGCUGAGGUGCGAAAGCGUGGGGAGCAAACAGG
rnacentral:rRNA from 1 species